rnacentral:misc_RNA from 1 species
GAGUUCGCGGGAGAGUAAGUUAUUGCCAGGGUUUUUAUUUUAUACUUUAAACAUUGAUUUUAUUUUUUAUGUUUUUAGAUGUUCAUGUUUUUGAAUGUUUUAUUCGAAUAAUAUAAAAAAUAAAAUAUAUAUAUUGACAUGGAUUAAACAAAGAUAUAUAUUAUUCUAUGUUGUAUAAACAAAUUGGCAAAAUAGAGAUGGAAGAUAAAAAUAUGGUCAAAGUAAUAAGAGUCUAUGGUGAAUGCC